rnacentral:rRNA from 1 species
UACGUAGGGGGCGAGCGUUAUCCGGAAUUACUGGGUGUAAAGGGAGCGUAGACGGCGAGGUAAGCCUGAAGUGGAAGCCCGCGGCCCAACCGCGGAACUGCUUUGGGAACUGUUUUGCUGGAGUAUGGGAGGGGUAAGCGGAAUUCCUGGUGUAGCGGUGAAAUGCGUAGAUAUCAGGAGGAACACCGGUGGCGAAGGCGGCUUACUGGACCAUAACUGACGUUGAGGCUCGAAAGCGUGGGGAGCGAACAGG